rnacentral:rRNA from 1 species
UGGGGAAUAUUGCACAAUGGGCGAAAGCCUGAUGCAGCGACGCCGCGUGAGGGAUGACGGCCUUCGGGUUGUAAACCUCUUUCAGUAGGGACGAAGCGCAAGUGACGGUACCUGCAGAAGAAGCACCGGCUAACUACGUGCCAGCAGCCGCGGUAAUACGUAGGGUGCGAGCGUUGUCCGGAAUUACUGGGCGUAAAGAGCUCGUAGGCGGUUUGUCACGUCGUCUGUGAAAUCCUAGGGCUUAACCCUGGACGUGCAGGCGAUACGGGCUGACUUGAGUACUACAGGGGAGACUGGAAUUUCUGGUGUAGCGGUGGAAUGCACAGAUGUCAGGAAGAGCACCGAUGGCGAAGGCAGGUCUCUGGGUAGUAACUGACGCUGAGGAGCGAAAGCAUGGGUAGCGAACAGG